UACGUUUACGCGCCAUCCUGCCCGUAAAAAAAAUGAAGCUAUAUUAUUAUUAUUAUUGUGUUGCGUGUAUGUAACAUGACUCGUUUAUAAUGUACUGUAUUUAUUUACAUAUUGUUUACGAAUAAAACGUGUGUUUGUUUAAACUGUAUAACUACUAACUACUCGCCAAGAACGCCAAGAACUUGCUUGCAUACUUGGGGCCGCUUAAAAUGUUAAAUCCAGUGAAAACAAUUAAGUUUUGUAUGUUUAUUGAUAAUAAUGAUUCUAACUAACAUUAUGAUAAGUAGUAUAAUAUCGAAUAAUAAUAUUUGCAAGUUGCACCCGAUCAGUGUAGUGAGUGAAAUAAUAAUAUUAGGAUUUAUUUUUGGAUGUUGUGUGUGUUCGUGUUCGUGUGAUACAAAUUUUAUCGUAAGUUUAAAUCUGAAGGUAGACAGGAUGCAAGAAGUGUGCGGACCACCGGCCCCGGGCCCUCUCAACCUUUAUGCGAGUACCUACAUACAUACAUACAUAACUGUGCACCCGUACCGGCACCGUCUACUAUCUACUGUCGUCAAUUAGGAUGCAGUAUGGAUCGCAGACACAUCUCAUCGUCCAGUUUUCCAGUUUCCACCAGCCAUACCACCAGCUAUGACCAGGCACCAGACGCCAGCGGCGCUUCCUCAACGUUAUGCUUAAACGCCACACUAUAUAUGUACAGGGUGAAGGUUUC